rnacentral:rRNA from 1 species
CCUACGGGUGGCAGCAGUAAGGAAUAUUGGACAAUGGUCGGAAGACUGAUCCAGCCAUGCCGCGUGAAGGACGAAGGCGCUCAGCGUUGUAAACUUCUUUUGGAUGGGGAUAAUAGGCUCGAUUUAUCGGGUUUUGAAGGUACCAUCAGAAUAAGCACCGGCUAACUCCGUGCCAGCAGCCGCGGUAAUACGGAGGGUGCGAGCGUUAUCCGGAAUCACUGGGUUUAAAGGGUGCGUAGGCGGCGAGGUAAGUCAGUUGUGAAAUUCCCCGGCUUAACCGGCGGGACUGCGAUUGAUACUGCUUUGCUUGAAACAGGUUGAGGUAAGCGGAAUGUGGCAUGUAGCGGUGAAAUGCAUAGAUAUGCCAUAGAACACCGAUUGCGAAGGCAGCUUGCUGGGCCUUGUUUGACGCUGAGGCACGAAAGCGUGGGGAGCAAACAGGAUUAGAUACCCUAGUAGUC